ensembl:lncRNA
UUAUUGGCUGAAUAUUUGGCCUGAGAGCAAAUGAAGCCAGCUGAUACAGGAGAUUUGGAGAUGAUACCCUUGUAUCCUGCCAAGGCAAGAUAGAAGCUGGCUUUUCCUUGCUUCCUCUAACCUGCUGACUUAAAUUUGCAAGGCCUAGAAGUCAAUAGCAGGGGAGUUACUGUUGAGAUCUGGAAGCCAGGAGCCAUCACUGCAAAAGAGCAGGCUCGACACUUUGGAAUAUAAGUAAGAGUUUGUACUGUCGUCAUUAAUCAUCAACUGACCAACACAACCUCAGCAUGACCCACCGCUACUGGAGAUCGGCACCUGACACCGAGACAUAGCUGAAUCAAGGAGUGGUGAACCGCCUUGCUUUGCUGUGUCCGCGUAUCUGUCUGUCUGUCUGUCUCUUUCCUCAUUUUUUUAAAUCUUUUCUCUUUAUCUUCUUUUACACCCUGUGCAGUAGCCAUUGCCUAAUAAUUUCUUACCUGUAAUGCUUAUUAAUCAUAAUUAGCAAAAUAGUCAAUGUUACCUCUGAGUAGAACAUUAGUUGUUGUUAGAGAUCUUAAUAAAUUGAUGUGUGUUAUUCCUCUGAGUCUUGGAUGACUUGCAGACCCCCUGCUGACUAGAGGAAGUGCAACUCAGGAGACUGAAAAAGAUUCACCUCCCUCAAAACCUACUGUGUGGGACAAGACAGAUGACAUCCAGAGGGACCUGCACAGGCUCGAGGAAAGGGUGCUUGGCAAGAAGCAGAAGGGGGAAAAAAAGCAAUCCUAGGCUCAGGAGCAUUACUGGCUGUCUCAAAAUACAGGGAUGUGUUUAACACUGGGAUGCAGUACAUUCCUGCACACAUAGUUCGUGAAGCCAUGAAGUUCUCAAAAUGCUGACAUCUCACAGACCUGUUACCAAAGAUGACCAGGGUCAACAGACUAUCCAACGCAACCUUCAUCUAAACCUCUCAUAAAGCUCUGGAUGUAAUGAAACAGUAUUUGGAACACCGCCUUGAAAGGAACAGCUAUCCUUGCAGAACAUUUACAAGCUUCCCUGUGUCUCCAUUGUUUAAAAUAUGUUUGAUAUUACAUAUAAUUCCAGGGUAUGCUCAGCACUUGCAGAAAUUGCAAUUUCUUUUCACACAAGUGCACUGCUGUUAACUGGAAGAACAGUACUACUAUUCUUUCUGGUCCUAAUGCUGUGUAGCAUUUUGCAGUAUAUACUAUUCAACUCUUUAAGAAAAAAAUCUUUGCAGCUUUUAGGCUACUACUCUCUGGUCCCGUGUAAGCGAUUUCAAGUAAUAAACACAAAUUGUAGUCGAUAAAAGUACCAGUAGAGAAACAAA